CACCAAAAUCAAUCGCGUGAUUUCCUCCCAACCCCCACCACGCGAUUUUCUGAUUUCCUCCGCCUUCAUCGCCGCCUCCUUCCCACUCCGCCACUCCGGGUGGUGCCUCCCUCACAUCGGCUCCUGUGGCCGCUCCCGUCUUCGCCGCCGCCGCCCGCCGGUGCCUCCCUCCACCACCACCUGGGCCCCGCCUCCUUGCCAUUCACGAACAGGAGUUUCGGCAGGUUCGUGCGGGCGCCGUCACGCCGCCACAUAUCGAGACUCGCUGUCCGUUCGCCGGCCCGCCUCCUCCACGGCCGUCCAGUCUGCCGCCCUCAACGCCGAUCGCGCCGUCCAGUCCGCCCGCACCCUCUGCCGCCAUCUUCAAAAGCCCUGCCGCCGCCACGAGAUCCAGGCGAGCAUGAUGGAAGACGUGGAUGCGGCUCCAGUGGUUGAUUGGGUGGCAACGAGGAUGAACCGCAGCUGACUGCACCCAUGCACAACCGCAACCAACUAGCUAAAGGGAUGUUGGGGCUUUGGUCCUUGAGAUCAUGCAUAUUGCAAGAGAAACCUAAUCUGAGUUUCAAAAGUGGAUGGUGCAGCUGUUCCGUUUGAUUGCAAAAUGCCCGAAUAGCUUUGACUUUCAAGUGUUUGGGGUCAAGUCUGUAGUUUGCAAGGAGUGAACCUCAUUGUCCGUUCGUUGGGGAGACCUCCUCCUCCACCGCUGUCCAGUCCGCUGCCCCCAGUUCGCACGUUCGAGGGGGAACAUUGAUUUGUUCUUUAGAAAUUCAAUAAAUAGGCAUUCGUACAUGUGGCAUCCGAUGGUUAUAUGCUAUGGUCAUUUUUCAUUAAAUGUUGACUCAACUUUGUGGUAUGUUUUCAGUUUCAUUUAGCCAUUAAACUCUGGAGGAACUACAGAAUAAACUUGUAGAUGCAGAGGCCAGAAUGGAUUUGUAAGAGGCAAUGGAUUUUAGUAUUCAGUAAUCUUUGAUUUCAGGUAAAUUAAAGAUCAUUGCACAAUCAAGAAAUAUAUUUUGUGAAUGUUUGCAAU
rnacentral:lncRNA from 1 species